GAAUGAGAGCUUAUGAAUGUGGGGGAGGCGGAGCUUAUGGAGGGGGCGGAGCCACCCAAAGCCCCGCCCACCUGUAGGUGUACAGCCCCGGCCCGGUGCUCCCCGCUCCUCCCCCCGGUGCCCCCCCGCAUGAUUACUUGCCCAUCGCCGUGCUCACCACCCUCUGCUGCUUCUGGCCCACCGGCGUCGUCGCCAUCGUCAAGGCCGUGCAGGUUGGGGGGGACGGGGGAGGGGGACAUUGGGAUUUUGGGGUCCUUCAUUGGGAUUUUGGGGUCUUUCUUGUGUCUGUGAGAUCAUUUGUUGGAGUCUUGUGGUCAUUUGUUGCGUUCUUCGGGCUCUCCGUUGAGUUUUGGGGUCAUUCAUUGGGAUUUUGCGGUCAUUUGUUGGGGUUUUGGGGUCUUUCUUGUGUCGAUGGGGUCAUCCGUCGGAGUCUUGUGGUCAUUGUGUGGGUUCUUGGGGCUCUCGGUUGAUUUUGGGGGUCACUCAUUGGGAUUUUGGGGUCAUUUGUUGGGAUUUUGGGGUCAUUUGUUGGCUUUUGGGGACGUUCAUUGGGGUCCUGUGGUCGUUGUGUGGGUUUUUGGGGGCUCUCCGUUGAGUUUUGGGGUCUCUCAUUGGGAUUUUGGGGUCAGUUGUUGGGGUUUUGGGGACUUUCUUGUCCUCCGUUGGAGCCUUGUGGUUGCUGUGUGGGUUUUUGGGGUUCUCCGUUGAAUUUGGGGGUCAUUUAUUGGAUUUGGGGGUCAUUUAUUGGGUUUUGGGGAUGUUCCUUGGGGUUUUGUGGUCGUUGUGUGGGUUUUGGAGGCUCUCUGUUGAGAUUUGGGGUCAUUCAUUGGGAUUUUGGGGUCGUUCAUUGGGAUUUUGGGGCCAUUUGUUGGUGUUCUGUGGUCAUUGUGUGGGUUUUUGGGCUCUCAGUUGAGUCUUGGGGUCAUUCACUGGGAUUUUGGGGUCAUUUGUUGGGUUUUGGGGGUCAUUUAUGGGGUUUUGGGGUUCAUUCAUUGGAUUUUGGGCAUCAUUUGUUGGGUUUUCAGGGGUCAUUCAUGGGAUUUUGGGGGUCAUUUGUUGAGUUUUUGUUGUCACUUGUUGACAUCAGUUGAGUUUUUGGGGUCAUUUGUUGGUUUUUUGGGGUCAUUUGUUGGGUUUUUGGGGUCAUUUGUGGUUUUUGGGGGGUCGUUUACGGGGUUUUUGGAGUCAUUUGUUGAGUUUUUGGUGUUCUUUGUUGACGUCAGUUGGGUUUUUGGGGUCUUCCGUUGGGUUUUGGUUGAGGUCAGUUGGGGUUUUGGGGUGUUUUGUUGGGGUUUGGGGGUCUCCUGUUUGGGUUUUGGGGUCUUCUGUUGGGUUUUGGUUGAGGUUGGUUGGGGUUUUGGGGUCUUCCGUUGGGUUUUGGUUGAGGUCGGUUGGGGUUUCGGGGUCUCCGCUUUGGGUUUUGGGGUCACCUGUUGGGUUCUGGUUGAGGUCGGUUGGGGUUUUGGGGUCUUCCGUUGGGUUUUGGUUGAGGUCGGUUGGGGUUUUGGGGUCUCCCCUUUGGGUUUUGGGGUCUUCUCUUGGGUUUUGGUUGAGGUCGAUUGGGGUUUUGGGGUCACCCGUUGGGUUUUGGUUGACAUCAGUUGGACUUUUGGGGUCUUUUGUUGGGGUUUUGGGAUCUCUUUGUGGAUUUUGGGGGUCUUCCAUUGGGAUUUUGGGUUCUUUUCUUGGGCUUUCGGGGUCUUCUGUUGGGUUUUUGGGGUCUCUGUAGCCCUCAGCUCGGUUCUCAUUGACAUCUCCAGGGCACGCGAGGUUCCCUGCUGAUUUUUUGGGGUCUUCUGUUGAAUUUUUGGGGUCCUGCGUUGGGUUUUGGUUGAGGUCAGUUGGAGUUUUGGGGUCUCCCUUUGAAUUUUGGAGCUCCUCUGUUGAAUUUUCGGGGCCUUUCCUUCGGUUUUUGGGCUCCACCGUUGGAUUUUUGGGCUCUUCCGUCGCGUUUCGGCGAUCCUUGGGGACGUCGGUUGGUUUUUGGAGCCCCUCGGUUGGAUUUUUGGGGUCUUUCGUUGCGUUUUGGGGACUCACCGGGCACCGUCGGCCGCACGCCGUCCCUUCCACCGCGUCCCCGGCGCCGUUCCCCUCGGUUUCGGGGGGCUCCAGCAGCACGCGGCACCGCGACCCCAACCCGGGGCGAUCCAGCCCGCGGCCGGGACGGAGAAUCCGUUUGGAGAAGGAAGAGUCCGGGCUCAGC
ensembl:lncRNA